CAGCCGCCGCGGUAAUACGGAGGGGGCUAGCGUUGUUCGGAAUUACUGGGCGUAAAGCGCACGUAGGCGGCUUGAUAAGUUAGAGGUGAAAGCCUGGAGCUCAACUCCAGAAUUGCCUUUAAGACUGCCGAGCUAGCAGGUGAGAGAGGUAAGUGGAAUUCCGAGUGUAGAGGUGAAAUUCGUAUAUAUUCGGAAGAACACCAGCGGCGAAGGCGGCUUACUGGCUCAUACUGGACGCUGAGGUGCGAAAGCGUGGGGAGCAAACAGGAUUAGAUACCCCGGUAGUCCCUGUCUCUUAUAC
rnacentral:rRNA from 1 species